rnacentral:rRNA from 1 species
AUGCAAGUGCCAGAAGUACACGGCUUCUGCAUAGUGGGUCUGUGAAUGGCUCCUUAGACCAGCAGUCAUCCCUGCGAUAAUGUGUGAUUGGCACAGCACUCAUGUGCUCAGUUGGACAUCCCCCAAAACCUGGAGGCUAAUACACGUUCUCAAAGGUCAGCCACAGCUGGCACACCUGCCAAGCAUGAAGCUGCCACAGGUGUGGUGGUGGAUUGCACCCAGCUGACACUCAAGAUCAGCGCCCCUCCGGGCAGCGUGCCUUGUGGUUGACUCAGGCUGGUCCUACAUUGGACAUCGGCUCUGGCAAGACACUUCAAGGUGGCCUUGGUGGUUUCCCUCGUGGAGCCCCAAGCCAUUGUCUGGCUUGAUCGCAUGAACUUCUGAACCAUCAGCUCAUGGAUUGUGGGGUAGUGGCCCACAAUGGCUUCGACGGUUGACAGAGAAUCAGGGUUCGAUUCUGGAGAGGGAGCCUGAGACACGGCUACCACUACCAAGGUGGGCAGCAGGCGCGCAAAUUGCCCAAUGCAAGUACAGUCUGUGAGGCAAGCAACGAAACUGCAAGCAACCCCACUGGUCCCCAGGACUGGUGGGGCUUGGAAUGGAUGCAAUCCAAACCCAGUGAUGAGUAACCAUUGGAGGGCAAGUCUGGUGCCAGCAGCCGCGGUAAUUCCAGCUCCAAGGGCGUAUGCUAUCAUUGCUGCUGUUAAAACGCUCGUAGUCUGCCCCUGGGUUGCAGGUCUGCAGGGGCUGGCCAUGGCCUCCCACAAGGGCUCUUCGGGGCUUGCGUGGGCUGGUUGUGGCUGGGUACAACCUCUGCAGUCAGACCCUGCACCCAACAUGAUUCUCUGUGUGGUGAGAUUCGCUCCUGCCAAGAGCCCUCUUCAUUGAGGGCCACAGCGGUAAUGCCCUUCACUCAGGCUAGUGGCAACACAGUUGGUCCAAGCCCCGUGCUUGGAGCCCUCCGGGCCUCGCCUCUGUGCCCACCACUGGAGCCCACCACAGUUGACACCCUGGCAAACUCAGUGUGCUCAAAGCAACCCAAUGGGCCUAGCCCACUUCUUUCAAAGCGGCUGCAUGACUCACCAGUGAAUGUCGAAGCAUCGACCGGCUGUGGCAUCUAUCCUUGUGCUGGCCUUGAAGCCCAGUCCUGGGCAAUGUGGUGCAUUGUCUUCCCUUGUGUUUGGCCAGGCCUGCGGGGUGUGCCAGGCUCCAUGCUCCCUCGGGGGUGUGUCCUGCCAUCCGGGGUCUUCAGCCAGGCCAAGGGCUUGCAUGCAUCAAGCGACUGUGAUGGGACCACGUUCAGGGUGAAAGAUACCUUGGCGCCAGAGGUGAAAUUCUUAGACCGCCACGAGAUCAACAGUGGCGAAGGCGCUUUGCAAGGCUGUGUUCGUCGAUCAAGAACGAGAGUCUGGGGAGCAAAGAUGAUCAGACACCGUCGUAGUCCAGCACUGUAAACUGUGCCAGCUCGGCCCUGGCUGGGACAGACAUCAGUUGACCCAGUCAGGGGCUUCAUCCCCCAUCACGAGAAAUCCAAGCCUUUGGGUUCAGGGGGAAGUAUCGCUGCAAGGCAGAAACUUGAAGGAAUUGGCGGAAUGGUACCACAAGGCGUGGAGCAUGCGGCUUAAUUUGACUCAACGCGGGGAAUCUUACCAGGUCAGGACACAUCCAGGAUGGACAGACUGCUAGCUCUUUCUUGAUUGUGUGGACGGUGGUGCAUGGCCGCUCUUGAUUGGUGGAGUGAUUUGUCUGGCUGAUUCCGAUAACGAGUGAGAUCUCUGCCUCCCACUAGCCCUUGGCUCGCAUCUGUAGGGCCUGGGCCAGCAGGUGGUACUGCAGGGUUGGCCUCGGUUGGCCCUGCACAAGCCCCUGCUGGCCUCCCGAGAGCCAAGGAUCCGCUUCUCUGAGGUGCUGCGCCCGAUCUUUCAAGGGCUUGCAUGCGAGAGCCAACAGCAGGUCUGUGAUGCUCCCAGAUGUCCUGGGCGGCACGCGUUCUACACUGGUGCAGUGAAGGUGCCUCAGCUCGGUUUCUCGAGUCCUGGGCUGAAGAGCCUGGGCAAUCCUCCGAGCCUGCACCGUGCUUGGGAUAGACGAUUGCAACUGUCUCUCUUGAACGAGGAAUGCCUUGUAUGCCUGGGUCAUCAGCCCAGACCGACUAGGUCCCUGCCAUUUGUACACACCGCCCGUCGUUGCUACCGAUGAUGGCUUGACAGAACCGUCUGGAGGCCAGUCUCCUAUGGGGACACAGCCAAACUCCUGUGAUGUCCAGUCGUUAGAGGAAGCAAAAG